CCUACGGGAGGCAGCAGUGAGGAAUAUUGGUCAAUGGCCGGAAGGCUGAACCAGCCAUGCCGCGUGAAGGUCAGUGCCCUAUGGGUGUUAAACUUCUUUUGUGCGGGAGCAAGCGUGCGUUCGUGAACGCGCGUCGAGAGUACCCGGAGAAAAAGCAUCGGCUAACUCCGUGCCAGCAGCCGCGGUAAUACGGAGGAUGCGAGCGUUAUCCGGAUUUAUUGGGUUUAAAGGGUGCGUAGGCGGGAUGCCAAGUCAGCGGUAAAAAUGCGGUGCUCAACGCCGUCGAGCCGUUGAAACUGGCGUUCUUGAGUGGGCGAGAAGUAUGCGGAAUGCGUGGUGUAGCGGUGAAAUGCAUAGAUAUCACGCAGAACUCCGAUUGCGAAGGCAGCAUACCGGCGCCCUACUGACGCUGAGGCACGAAAGCGUGGGUAUCGAACAGGAUUAGAUACCCGGGUAGUC
rnacentral:rRNA from 1 species